CGUAACUAUCAUAAUCACCCCCAUUUAAUGAAACUCAAUUUCCAGUACUUCCCUCAGAAAUUCAAAAGAGCUUCUUUCUUCCUUUUACAAAGUCUCUUCCCAACACUCUCUAGAAACAUACCCAGCGUUUCACCUUCUCAAGAAUCCGUCCAUCGCCGAUCCUUAGACAAAGCUUCCUCCACUCCAGUAGUAAACAACGAGCGUAGAAAAUUCGUUUCACCCCUCUGUAAACCCUCUUUUGCAAGAAUAUGAGCAACGUUGUUUUCCUCUCUGGGCACAAAUCAAAAAUCGCAGGAUUCGAAACCCAUGCUCAGAUUCUUUGAAUCAUUUAUGAAGACCUCGAUUUCUGACCUAUCUUCAUCUCUCUUUUGCAGUUUUUUAUUACUGUUCGGGAGUCACCUUCAAUCACUACCUUACUCAGACUUUGGUGAAGCCCGAGUUGAAUAGCCUGAAUGCACGCCAUCGCUUCAGCAGCAAAAGCUGAAGGAAUCUGUCAGAGCAGCCCAUCAACUUGUAGAAAACCGCCUCAUUGUGAACCCAAUACUGGAAAUGGCAACAAAAAGACGUAAUCUGUAUUUUUUUUUCUUUUUAUUCUGUCGCGGUUGGAGUCGUGGGCACGACGCUUAUUCUGUCACGGCUGGAGUCGUGGGCACGACGCUGGGCACGACACGGAUCUGACAUGGAAAAUCAGAAGUCAACACGGGGAAUAUUCUGGAAACAACUUAUCUUGAUCUAUUGACGUGAUUUGGGGGAUUUUGGAUUUCAUUUUCAUAAUUUUAUAGAUAUUAUCUUAUCUUUUUUUGAUUAGUUUUCCUUGUUGAUUUGGGAAUUUGAAGCCUAUAAAUACCCACCUUUGGGUAAGGCUAAGUAUCUCUUGUCUUUUGUUCUUAUUGCUACUUUGUUUUCAUUUUUAAUAAAAUUUUCUUCUUUGUUUUAUUUCUACUUUA